AGGCAGCCCCCUCCCUCCCCCCGGCCGCAGAGCUCUCCCGCCGCCAGAGCUGGCUGUCCAGCUGGGACAGUCAUCUCUGACUCGCUUCCACCCCUGGGAAUUGUAGUCCAGCUCGUUCGCCUCCUCCAGUACGGCGCAAGGAACAGCAGAGCGGCGGGACUACAACUCCCAGAACGCCACCGUCGCAAGCCUGCCGCGGAGUGAGGCCCCCCCCCCCCCGGGAAGGGUCUGUAAAGCUGCCUCGCCGUUUGUUGUCAGGCGCGCGCAAAGCGGGAAUCGACAUCUCGGGGGACCCCGCCGCGACCCGGGGAGCAACGGCGUGACGGCUCAGGGUGUCCAACCCUGCCUCUUGGAUCAGGCAGCGUGUGGGGCAGCUACGCGUCUGAGCGGCUGCCCCGUGGACGCAGCGCAUUGGCGGGGCUCGCGGAUGUGGCGGGAGAGGCUGGAGGCGGGGGCGGCGCUGUGCGGCGUUGGUGGUGGGGAGGCCCCGCUGGCUCCCCACCCCUUAGUGGUAGGGGAGCUCUGGGGUAAGUGGGAGCUGCAGGGGGACGAGGCGGCUUAGGAGCAGCGGGUGGGGCGCGGCCCAAUCGCGCCUGGCCACCGCCGCGCAGGUAGCGCCUGUGGGGGUCCCCGCCGGCGGGAAUGCGGUGGAGCCGCCAGGACAGUGCCCGGCGCAGGACGACGUAGGGCUUGCUUCCAUGUGAGUGGUAUCGUCAUCGUUGUGAAAUAAUCCGCCAACAAUCACAAGAAAAAACAAUCAUCUGACACCCAAGUGUGAAUGAAACUACACUCUUGAUCAUUACAUUGAUUGCUUCAGGAAAAAAAAUUGAUAGUGAAAUCCGUAACAAACAUCACAUCCACCAUGAUUUCUCUCUCCACUGCAAAGAGGACAGCUAUGCAGUUCCUGAAAUCACCAUAUAGUGUCAAACCAGCAGACAAAGGGGGCUCCAUCAUAGUCUCAACCAUGAUGAGUACAUUAAGGCCAACUGACAACUUGGAGUCUAUAAAGAACUCAAGACCCCACACUACAAUUUACCCAGGAAUUUAAGGAUAUUAUCAAAUCCUUUCUCAAAGAACUCCAAGAGAAACUCUAUAAACUCAUCCAUCCACAAACCCACCACAGGGACCUUCUGCAUGCUUCCCAAGAUAAACAAAGGAGCCCAGGCAUACCUGUCUUGUCUGGCCAUGGCACUCUUAGUGAAGGAAUAUCGACAGGUUUCAGAGUAGCAGCCGUGUUAGUCUGUAUUUGCAAAAAGAAAAGGAGUACUUGUGGCACCUUAGAGACUAACAAAUUUAUUUGAGCAUAAGCUUUCGUGAGCUACAGCUCACUUCAUUGGAUGCAUUUGGUGGAAAAUACACCAAAUGCAUCCAAUGAAGUGAGCUGUAGCUCACGAAAGCUUAUGCUCUAAUAAAUUUGUUAGUCUCUAAGGUGCCACAAGUACUGUACUCCUUUUCUUUUUGAAGGAAUAUCGGGCCUCAUAGAAACUAUCCUCAAACCACUCACCACACAAAGGGCCAGUUUCCUUCAGGACAUAAUGAACUUACUCCACAACAUUAACAACCUCCCUCAGAACACCAUCCCUGCCACCAUGGAUAUCACUUCCCUGUACACCAACAUCCUUCAUAAUGAUGGCAUAGCUGUCUGCCUCAAAUAUUUACAGGACAAUGGACAACCCUCAGAUAUCCACCCUAACCACAUCACCAAACUCAUCCAUUUCAUCCUCACUCAUAGCAAUUUUAUAUUCAAUAACACACACUUUGUCCAAGUCAUAGGAACAGCCAUGGAUACUAGGAUGGCUCCCCAAUACGCCAGCCUCUUCAUGGGCCACCUCAAAGAACAGUUUCUGGACAAAUGCACCACAAAACCGAUGAUAUACCUGAGAUAUAUUGAUUGAUAUUUUCAUCCUCUGGACAGAUGAUUUAAAGUACCUCAGAUUUUCACCACAACUUCAACAGCCACCACCUGUCCAUUAAACUCUCUGAAACUCUUCUGCUACGCUAUUGUAAUAAAACUACCUGGAUAAGAGUCAUAGAGCUUUUUGUGACAAAGUUAGAGCAACACAGUGUCUGUGUAGACACUGUGUUGCUUAUGUCACCCUAAGUGGCCUCCAGGAGGUGUCCCACAAUGCCCAUCAUGACCACUCUGGUCACCAAUUUAAACUGCUGCCCUACAGACAGGUACACAUGCAUUCGCCCUUCCCCCUUUAAAGCCCCAGGAAUUUUUGGAAUUCCUCUUUCUGUUUGCUGAGUGUUGAGAGCUCACAUCAUAUGUCCAGUUGACCAUGCCAGCUCCCCCGCAGCAAACAUGUUCCUGCCUGGAGUACACCUGAGUUGUUGGAUCUGCUGGGUCUGUGGAACUUUCUUACCUAUCAUGCCUUUUAUGCCACUUCUACAAGCAACUGCACACCACCCUUGGUGGCAAGCACACCUCCACAGCCAAGAUCACCAUAGAUACUUUUGGGGGGAAGGAGGUAGCAUCUAGUGGAGCGAACCUCAAGGAUGAAGUGGUGGAUGAGGAAGAGGUGCUGGAGGAGGAUGGAGGACAAGUGACAGGGUCAUCCAUUGGCAUGGCAAGCCAGGACCUCUUUUCAACUCUGGAGGGGUCUAGCCAGUCCCAGCAGUCCAACUCUGGUGCUCCUGAUGCAGGAGAGGGGAGUUCCUAUAACUACUCAUUGUGCUUUGAUACUGCAGGGAGACAUGAGAUAGAGCUCUUUUUUCCCCCUCAGGGUAGAAGAGGUAUAGAAAUAACCAACAUUAGCACUGUUUGCAUCUGCUUCUCAUUCCCCUGUGCAGCUAGGCAGAGGGGGCCCUGUGGAAAAGUUUGUUGAUGCAUACAGGGAUGUCUUGGGAAUCAUCCAUAAAGAUCUCUAGGAAACAGUCCUGGAAAUACUUCACAAUCCUCUGCUGAAGGUUCCUUAGGAGGGCUGCCUUGUUUCUUCCCCUGUGGUAGGAAACUUUGCCCCGCCAAUUGGCAAUUACUUCUGCAGGCACCAAAGCAGCACACAGGUUAGCAGCACAUGGUCUGCAGCCACAUGCAUGUAGGUUAUCCUCAGGAGUGAGAUAACAGCUUUUCUCAUCCCUGCCUGUUGAAAAUGGGGCCAGUAUUCAGAAUAGGGUCCUGUCGCAGGUCAGGCCCACGGUCACGCCUACGCACCCCAGGCUUGGGGCUGUGCGGCCUAGUGGCUGGAGUCCAUGGCUUCCCCCAGACUCGGGGCUGUGCGGCCUAUCGGCUGGAGUCAGUCACUGUCAGGAUGGGCUGCCAUCUCACAGUGGGUGGGGGCCAGGAUAGGGGGACCCGGGCCCUCCCUCUCCACCGGGUCCAAGCCAGGGCUCUGUUGAUGGUGGGGUUGCCUGCCACCAGCUCAGCAGGGAUCUGGCUGAAACACGCAGAGCUAGCCUCUGGCUGUCCAACCAACUCCCCAUAAAGUCUCCCAGGGUUACUUCCUUCCCGCUUCUCCGCAUCUCAUGGCUUCCUAGUUCCCUUGGUUCCUUCUCCCUCAGUCGCAUCCAGCACCUGGACGUUUAGGGUUGCUGUCAGCUGGCUGGCCUCCGCGUCAUGGAGUGCCCACAGCCCUUCAGCAGGGGCCAGCAGCACACCUUCUUCCCCUACAGCAAUCCACCCAGACUGAGCCAGGCUGCUCCCUCUUAUAUUGGUGUUGCACUUUGAGCAUGCCCAGUAGGGCUGUUCCUUCCUCAGCCCACAGUGAGGGGUUAACCCCCGCAGUCCCAGUGCAGGGCAUGCAUGCUCCGUCACAGGUCCCUAGGCAUUUGUAGUGAUCCUCCUCUGAACAGCCUCAACCUUUUGUCCCAUCUUGCCCCUUCCUCCCCGGGCCAAACUCACAAUGGUUAGGACUCUCGCUGAGCUGUGUGCCUGCCAAGGGAAAGUGAGAAAGUGGUGUGUGUAACUUGUAUGAAUCAAAGCUAUGAGUGCAGUCACAAUAGUUUCUCUUUCAGUUGUUUCUUUAGCUUCUGUAGAUGUGCCCUUGAGGGUCUCAUCCUGCACACUGGCUGAGCAGCUCUAUCUGAUAAGGAGAUGAACCAGGAGGAGUAAGGAAGACAUGUUCAGAGAGGUGCUGCAACCAUCUGAUGCUGCUGAUAGUGAGCAGAGAGCAUGGAGAGAGGCUGUCAAUGAAAAACUGAGAAUGGAUAGCAAGGAGAAGAAACAGGCAGGAGCGGAAGAUACAGCUGCUUGAGGACCAAUCAGACAUACUGAGAUCCCUGAUUGUGCUGAAGAUCCAUGUUCGCCUCCCCUGCAGCCCAUACAGAACUGCCUUCCAUGCCCUCCCCAAACUCCCCACACACAUUCCUCAUGUGUUCCCGGGCUGUCGCAUUAUCCCAUGCACUCCACCCCUAGGGACAUGUUUCACAAUGACAUCUGAACAUACAUCCUGUUGAAAGACCUCAUUUCAAAGAGUGCUCUUCAUUGUCAUGUCCCUGGUAGGAAAUAGAAAUGUUUGUAUAGCUGUAUACAUAAAAAUGUAUGUAUAAAAAGAAAAUGAAUUUUUAUUUGUCUCCUACAUACAAUGGUUGCUGCUGAAAUUCAUACACAGUGGCAAUCUGUGCAUUUGCAGAGUACAAUUAACACAAACACAGCAAUCAUUACAGGGGUCAUGCUACAAUGCAAGACAGAAGUGCCUGCUCAGUGUAUUACAGAAAAGCAUAUUACUGGGGCUCAUUGUCAAAAUGUUCUUUCAAAACCUUCCUGAUAUGAAUAGCUCCCUGUUGAAGCUCCCUAACAGCCCUGCUAUCUGGCUGCUCAAAAGCAGCUGCCAGCUGAUCAACCGUAAUGCUC